rnacentral:rRNA from 1 species
GACGAACGCUGGCGGCGUGCUUAACACAUGCAAGUCGAACGGAAAGGCCCUGCUUUUGUGGGGUGCUCGAGUGGCGAACGGGUGAGUAACACGUGAGUAACCUGCCCUUGACUUUGGGAUAACUUCAGGAAACUGGGGCUAAUACCGGAUAGGAGCUCCUGCUGCAUGGUGGGGGUUGGAAAGUUUCGGCGGUUGGGGAUGGACUCGCGGCUUAUCAGCUUGUUGGUGGGGUAGUGGCUUACCAAGGCUUUGACGGGUAGCCGGCCUGAGAGGGUGACCGGCCACAUUGGGACUGAGAUACGGCCCAGACUCCUACGGGAGGCAGCAGUGGGGAAUAUUGCACAAUGGGCGGAAGCCUGAUGCAGCAACGCCGCGUGCGGGAUGACGGCCUUCGGGUUGUAAACCGCUUUCGCCUGUGACGAAGAGUGAGAGACGGUAAUGGGUAAAGAAGCACCGGCUAACUACGUG